GACGAACGCUGGCGGCGUGCUUAACACAUGCAAGUCGAACGGAAAGGCCCUGCUUUUGUGGGGUGCUCGAGUGGCGAACGGGUGAGUAACACGUGAGUAACCUGCCCUUGACUUUGGGAUAACUUCAGGAAACUGGGGCUAAUACCGGAUAGGAGCUCCUGCUGCAUGGUGGGGGUUGGAAAGUUUCGGCGGUUGGGGAUGGACUCGCGGCUUAUCAGCUUGUUGGUGGGGUAGUGGCUUGCCAAGGCUUUGACGGGUAGCCGGCCUGAGAGGGUGACCGGACAAGUUGGGACGGAGAUAAGACACAGACUAGUACGGGAGGCAGCGGUGGGGAAGAUUGUACAAGGGGAGGAAGGAAGAUGUAGCAAAGCAGCGUGCGGGAAGAGGGGAAGCGGGUUGUAAACCGAUGUCGCCUGUGACGAGACGUGAGUGACGGUAAUGGGUAAAGAAGCACCGGCUAACUACGUG
rnacentral:rRNA from 1 species